GCCCCAGCCCCAGCCCCAGGCCCAGCCCCAGCCCCAGCCCCAGCCCCAGCCCCAGGCCCAGGCCCAGCCCCAGCCCCAGCCCCAGCCCCAGCCAUCACCCCUAAAGUCAUUCCCAACUUGCAUUGAUUUGGUGCUAAAAAUAAAUUGUCCAUUGUUUGUCCAUAAGAUUGGGAUACUCUUCCUCUAGCACUGCUUAUUUCCUGAGUUGACUACCUGAGUCAUUUCCAAUUAAUGUACACAGUCCCAUUUGUCCACUGUCCCAUGUUAGAACAAUCCAAACCUUUGUGUUAUUGUUGGAAAAUGUUGGUUGAAAGCUUCAUAUCAGACACCUGUUGUUCAUAAUUUUGGUUAUUCAUUGUCUUUCCCCUGCCCUUGAGGAAGGAGAAACCAUUCCUCUGUCAUUGGUGCAGUAGUCACAGUCCCAGUUUUCUGGGCAGUGUUCAUAAAUUGUGCUGAUCACCUGAACUCUAUGCUGAGUGUAAUUUUAAUUGUCCAUAAUCCUGCCCAUUGGAUUGGAUCCCAGUCCAAAACCCUUUUGCUGAAUUCAGGAGUGGGUGCAGAAAACAUGAGUCUUCAAACAGUUAACAUGCUCAGUCCCAAUCGUAUCAGCCUUGUUCAUUAAACAAAGGCACUCUACCAUUUUUGUCCUGCUUCUGGGAUUAAGGUACCAAAUUGUAAUUGUAAGUUGUCUUGCCCAGUGAUCAAUGUCCCUUCAUCCCCUUUGCAUUGCUACUAGGAAGUGCUGACUACCUGGGACCAUGUUCCUUGAAUGAUUAAUGAGUAUAAUCCCAAUUGUCCACACCCCUGUUCAUUACACAAAUCCUUUGCAACUUCUUUGCAUUGUAGCAGAGGUGCCCAUCCUCUCUAAGUCCUUUACUUUGGGAUAUUAAUGCAUACAGUCAUCAUUGUUCUUGGUCCUGCCUAAAAGAUAAGAUCCACCCAUGCUCUUUUCAUUACUCCUAGGUAGCGCAGACUUCUUACUACCUAGCAUUAAUAUGUAAAAUCCUCACUGCCCGUUGCCCCAACAGUUAUUCUAGGAUACAACCUUAUCUUUAUGCCAUUGCUUAUGAGGAGUUCUGAUUACCCGAGGUCACUUCUUUUAAACAGUUGAUGUGCAUAAUUGCAUAUAUCCAUGGUGCUGUGCAAUAAAAAAUGAAAUCCCACCCCAUCCUAAUCUCUUUGGGAUAUUGCUAGGGAGUGCAGAUUAUGCAAGAACUCAGUUCUUGGACAGUUAAUUUGCACCGUUAGAGUUGUACAGAGUCCUGUCCAUUUGAAAGGGCCAUUGUAUCCCAUUUGCACGCUAUAAUGUGGGCUGAUAACUCAAGGAUCCUCUGGCAUUGAUAAUUUUCAUAAUUACAUUGGCACGUGUUCUGUGAACUAGCCACACCAAUCCCUUUGUAUUCUAGCAGGGGACCUUUACUAAAGAACUAUACACGUAGGACACUAUGUGUACAAUAUUAAUUGAUUAGACUGAGCCUUUUGUAUUAGGAACUCUGCACCAUCUUUACAUCUGAAAGGUGCUAAUUAUCGAAGGCUCUUUUCUUAAAAUUGUUCGUAUGCAAAAUUGUGAUCCCCAGUGUCUCCUCUGGUUAACUUAGAACCCCAUUUCCACCUAACUCCCUUUGCAUGACUGCAGAGGCUAUGUGGGCCCUUUAAGGGCUUAAGGCAGUUAUGGUCCCUUCUGUUAGUCUGUGCUCUCAUUCCCUCCUACUUCCUUUGCAUUACUGCACUGAAUACUUGUAAAUGUUAAUGUUCUUAAUCGCAGCUAUUAAUCCCUUUUGUUAGUCCAGGUUCCUAUCUCUUCCUACUCAUUUUAUAUUAGCAUAAAGUGUCCAUGGGACUGUUAAUGUGCUUAAAUGCAGCUCUGUCCCUUAUGUUAGUGUAGGAUUCCAUCCUCUUCAACUCCCUGUGCGUUACAGCAGAGUUGUACAGCUGGGAUCUUUAAGGUCCUCAAAGGCAGCUGCGGUGCCUUCUGUCCAUCUAGGAUCCCAUCCCCUCCUACUUCCUUUGCAUUUCUGCAGAGGAUACUGGGGACUGUAACAUGGAUAAUUGCUGCCAGAGUCCUUUCAGCUUGUCUGGGAUCCCAGCCCCCUCCCUCUCACGGAGUUUGCAUUACAGAGAGUACAAGGGACUCUUAAUGUGCUUAAAUGGCAGCUAUGGUCUCUCUUAACCUAGGAUCCCUUCCUCAUCUAAAUUCCUUUGCAUUAUUGCAGAGGGUACUUGGGACUGUUGAUAUGCGUAAUUGCAGUUAUGGUCCCUUGGGUUGGAUCCUAUCCCCAUCUGUUCCCUUUGAAUUAUGAAGAGUGCAAUGGGAUGAUUAAUGAGUUUAUUGCAGCUGUAGUUCCUUCUGUUAAUCUAGUUUCUCAUGCGCUCCUACUUCUUUUGCAAUACAGGGGAGGGUAGUUGAGAUCUUUGUGGUGCUUAAAGACGGUCUAUGGCCCCUUCUGUUUAUGUUCCCAUCCUCUCUUAUUUUGCAUUACUGCAGAGGAUACUUGGGACUCUGAAUGUGCCUGCUUGCCACUAUACUCCCUUCUGUUUGUCUGGGAUCCCAUCCCCUCCUACAGCAUUUGCAUUACCACAGAAGGUACAAGGGGCUAUUAAUGUGCAUAAAGGCAGCUAUGGUUUCUUCUCUUAACCUGGGAUCCAGCCCUCCUCUAACUUCCUUUGCAUUAUUGCAAACUAUUAAUGUCCUUUAAGGUAGCUGUGGUUCCUUACAUCACUGUAAGAUUCCAUUCUCUCUAAUGCCCUGUGCAUUACUGCACAGGGUACUUGGGCACUUUAAGGUGCUUAAAUGCAGUUAUGGCCCUUUCUGAUAGUUUAUGUUCCUGUCCCCUCCUAUUUCUUUGCAUUACUGCCGAGGCAACUUGGGAUUGUAAAUGGGCUUAAUUGCAGUUACAAUCCCUUCUGUUAACUUUGCAUUAGCACAACAGUGUAUAUGGGACUGUUAAUGUGCUUAAGUGAAGCCUUGCCCCUUAUGUUAAUGUAGGAUUCCAUCCUCUCCAGCUCCCUAUGCAUAUAGCGGAGGAUACCUGGCACCCAAAGGUGCUUGAAUGUAGCUGUGGUGCCUUCUGUCAGUCUAGGAUCCCAUUCCCCUUCUAUUCCCUUUACAUUACAUGGCGGGGCAUUUGGGACUGUUCCUGUGCUUAACUGUGGUUGCAGUCCCCCCUGUUAGUCUAGUUUCCCAUGCCCUCCUACUUCCUUUGCAUUACAGCAGAGGGUGCUUGAGACCUUUAAGGUGUUUAAUUGCAGCUGUGGUCCCUUCUGUUAGUCUAGGAUCUCACAUCCUUGAACUCCCCUUGUAUUCCCUGGGAUUGUCUUUGGGACUGUUAAAGUGCUUAGUUGCAGCUGUGGUCCCUUUUCUUUGUCUAGGGUCCCAUCCCUUCCUACUCACUUUGUAUUAUCUGGAAGUGGAUUUGGGACUAUUAAUGUGCUCAUUUGCAACUGUGGUCCCUUUUGUUAGUCUGGGUCCUAUGUGUUCCAACUCCUGCACACAGCAGGGACUACUUGGGACUAUUAAUAUGUUUAAUUUUACCUGUGGUCCCUUCCAGUGGUCUAGGAUGCCGUCCACCUUCUAUUCGCUUUGCAUUAGCACACAGUGUACACAGGACUGUUAUUGUGCUUAAAUGCAGCUUUGUCUCUUAUGUUAAUGUAGGAUUCCAUCCUCUCCAACUCUCUGCAUUAUAGAAGAGGGUACUUGGCACCUUUAAGGUGCUUGAACGUAGCUGUGAUGCCUUCUGUCAGUCUAGGAUCCCAUUCCAAUUCUACUCCCUUUACAUUACAUGGCAGGGCAUUUGGGACCGUUCAUGUGCUUAACUGCAGUUACAGUCCGUUCUUAGUCUAGGAUCCUAUGCCUUCCCACUUUCUUUGCAUUAGAGCAGAUGGUGUUUGGGACUGUUAAUGAGCUAAAUUGCAGCUAUAGUCCCUUCUAUUAAUCUAGUUUCCCAUGCACUCCUACUUCCUUUCAUUUCAGCAGAGGGUACUUGAGACCUUUAAGGUGCUUAAAUUCAGGUAUGGCCCCUUCUGUUUCUCUUCCCAUCUCCUUCUACUUCUUUGCAUUACUGCAGAGGCUCCUUGGGACGGUUAAUGUGCGUAAUUGCCACUAUAGUCCUGUUUGUCUAGAUUCUUAUCCUUUCCUGCAUGGUUUGCAUUACCAAAGAGAGUACAAGGGACUGUUAAGGCGCUUAAAUGCAGCUACUGUCUUUUCUGUUAACUUAGAUUCCCAUCCCCACCUAAUUCUCUUUGCGUUAUUGCAGAGGGUACUUGAGACUGCUAAUGAACCACUUGUCCCUUCUGUUAGACUAGGAACCCAUUCCCACAUACUCUCUUUACAUUAUCAUGGAGGGUACAUGGGACUGUUAAUCUGCAGACCCUUAUGUUAGUGUAGGAUUCCAUCCUGGCCAACUCCCUGUGCAUUACAGCAGAGGGUAAUUUUGACCUUCACGGUGCUUAAAGGCAGCUUUAAGCUGCCUUUGUUAGUUUAUGUUCCUAUCCUCUCCUACUUUGCAUUACUGUAGAGGAUUCUUGGGACAGUUAGCAUGCCUGAUUGCUGCUACAAUCCCUUCUGUUAGUCUAGCAUCGCAUCGCAUCCUAUUCCACACCGUUUGCAUUACCACAGAGGGUACAAGGGAUUGUUAAUGUGCUUAAAUGCAGCUACGAUAUCUUCUGUUAACCUAGGACCUGGUCCCCACCUAACUCUGCAUUAUUGCAGAAGGUACUUGGAACUGUUAAUGUGCUCUAAUGCAGCUACGGUCCCUUCUGUUAGACUAGGUAGGAUGCCAUCCCUAUCUACUCCUUUUGCAUUAUCAUGGAGCAUCCAGGGGACUGUUACUGUGCUUAAAUGAAGCCAUGGUCCCUUAAGUGUAGGAUUCCACUUCUUCAACUCCCUGUGCAUUACAGCAGAGUGUAGUUGGGAUCUUCAAGGUCCUCACAGGCAGCUCUGGUGCUUUCUGUUAGUCUAGGAUCCUAUCCCCUCCUACUACUUUGCAUUUCUGCAGAGGAUACUUGUAAUUGCCACUACAGUCCCUUCUGUUUGUAAUCGCAUCCUCUCCUAAACUGGCAUUGCUACAGAAGGUUCAAGGGACAAUUAACUGUUUAAAUGCAGCUACUGUCUCUUCUGUUCUAGGAUCCUAUCCUUUUUUUGGGUUUCCAUUUACUACAGUAGGCACAAGGGACUGUUAAUGUGCCUAACUGCCACUAUAGUCCCUUCUGUUUGUCUAGGAUCCUGUUCCCUCCUACAGGGUUUGCAAUACCAUAAAAAGUACAAGGGACCGUUAAUGUGCUUCAAGGCAGCUAAGGUCUCUUCAGUUAACCUAAGAUUCCAUCCCCGCCUAAUUCCAUUUGCGUAAUUGCAGAGGGUACUUGGGACUGUUAAUAUGCUUAAAUGCAGCUAUGAUCCCUUAUGUUAAUGUAGGAUUCCAUUCUAACUUCCUGUGCAUUGCCAUAUAGGGUAUUUGGGACCUUUAAGGCGCUUAAACCUGCGUCCCCUUGUUUGUUUCCAUACUCUCCUACGUUGCAUUACUGCAGAGGAUACGUGGGACUGUUAAGGUGCCUACUUGCCACUAUAGUCUUUUCUGUUUGUCUAGGAUACCAUGCCCUCCUGCAGGGUUUGCAUUACCUCCAAUGGUGUGAGGAACAGUUAAUAUGCUCAAAUGUACUUAAGGUCCCUUCUGUUAGAUUAGAAUUCUAUCCCCUUCUAUAUCCUUUGCAUUAUCAUGGAGGGUAUAUGGGACCAUUAAUGUGCUUAAAUGUAGCUACAGCCCAUAUGUUAGUGUAGGGAUUUCAUCCUCUCUAACUCCCUAUGCAUUACAGCAGAGUUGGGUAGUUGGGAUCUUCAAGGUCCUCAAAGACAGCUGUGGUACUUUCUGUUAGUGUAGGAUCCCAUCCCCACCUAACUUCCUUAGCAUUACAUAGAGGGUACUUGAGACCUUUAAGGUGUUUAAAUGCAGCUGUGUCUCCUUCUGUUUAUGUUUCCGGCCUCUCCUAUUUUGCAUUACUGCAGAGGAUACUUGGGACUGUUAAUGUGCAUAAUUGGCACUAUAGUCCCUUCUGCUUGUCUAGGAUCCCGUCCCCUCCUACAGGGUUUACAUUACCACUGAGGGUGUGAGGGACUGUUAAUGGGCUCUAAUGCAGCUAUGGUCCCUUCUUUUAGACUAGGAUCCCAUCCCUACCUACUCCCUUUGCAUUAUCAUGGAGCAUCCAUGGGACUGUUAAUGUGCUUAAAUGAAGCCAUGGUCCCUUAAGGGUAGGAUUCCAUCCUUUUCAACUCCCUAUGCAUUACAGCAGAGGGUAGUUGGGAUCUUUAAGGUCCUCAAAGGCAGCUAUGAUGCCUUCUGUUCGUCUAGGAUCCCAUCCCCUUCUACUUCCUUUGCAUUUCUGCAGAGGAUAUUUGGGGGACUGUUAAUGUGCUUAAUUGCCACCAGAGUCUCUUUAGUUUGUCUAGGAUCCCAUCCGCUCCUACUCAGUUUGCAUUAGAGUUUACAUGAGACUAUUACAUGAGACUAUUAAAGUGCUUAAAUGAAGCUGCUAUGGUCCCUUAUAUUAAGGUAGAAUCCUAUACCCACCUAACUCCUUUUGCACUAUAUAAUGUUUAUGAGUCUCUUAUAUGCUUAAAUGAAGCCUUGCCCCUUAUGUUAAUGUAGGAUUCCAUCCUCUCCAGCUCCCUAUGCAUUAUAGCGGAGGAUACCUGGCACCCAAAGGUGCUUGAAUGUAGCUGUGGUGCCUUCUGUCAGUCUAGGAUCCCAUUCCCUUUCUAUUCCCUUUACAUUACAUGGCGGGGCAUUUGGGACUGUUCCUGUGCUUAACUGUGGUUGCAGUCCCCCCUGUUAGUCUAGUUUCCCAUGCCCUCCUACUUCCUUUGCAUUACAGCAGAGGGUGCUUGAGACCUUUAAGGUGUUUAAUUGCAGCUGUGGUCCCUUCUGUUAGUCUAGGAUCUCACAUCCUUGAACUCCCCUUGUAUUCCCUGGGAUUGUCUUUGGGACUGUUAAAGUGCUUAGUUGCAGCUGUGGUCCCUUUUCUUUGUCUAGGGUCCCAUCCCUUCCUACUCACUUUGUAUUAUCUGGAAGUGGAUUUGGGACUAUUAAUGUGCUCAUUUGCAACUGUGGUCCCUUUUGUUAGUCUGGGUCCUAUGUGUUCCAACUCCUGCACACAGCAGGGACUACUUGGGACUAUUAAUAUGUUUAAUUUUACCUGUGGUCCCUUCCAGUGGUCUAGGAGCCCAUCUCCUACACAUUACCUGGUAGUAUUCGGAACUAAAAAGUACUUAAUUGCAUCUGUGGUCCCUUCUGUUGUUAUAGGAUCCCAGUGUUCUCCAAAUGUAUUACAGCAGAGGGCAUUGGACUGUUAAUAGGCUUAACUGUAGCUGUGGUCCCUCCUGUUAGUCUAGUAUCCCAAGCCCUACAACUGCCUUUGUGUUACCUGGCAGUGUAUUUGGGACUGUUCAAUUGCUUAAUUGCAGUGGUUGUCUCUUUAUGUGUAUAGUUUCUCAAGUCCUCCUAUUCAAUUUACAUUACAGCAGAGGGUCCUUGGGAUUGUUAAUUGUUAAUUAAAUGCUAAUUGUUAAUUGUUAAUUGUUAAUUCAAUGCUGCUGUUGUACCUUCUGUAAUUCCUGGGAUCCCAUCUCCUCCUACUCUGUUUACAUUACCUGGGAGGAGUUUGGGGACUGUUAGAAGGUGCCACACUACUAAAUCGAGAAUUUUUUCUUAGUAUAGUUUCCCAUGCCCUCCUAUUCUCUUUGCAUUACAACAGAUGGUACUUGGGACUGUUAAAGUACUUAAUUGCAGGUGUGGUCCCGUCCGUUAGUCUAGGAUCUCGUUUCCUUCUCCCCUAUUACUGAGAGCAGAUUUGGGAAUGUUACCUUGCUAAAUUAAAAUUGUCAUCCCUUCUAUUAGUCUAGUUUCCAGCCCCUUCCAAUUCCCUUUGCAUUACCUAGGAACAGAUUUGGGACUGUAAUGUGCUCAUUUGCAGCUGUGGUCCUUUCUGUGAGUCAAGUGUCCCAUGCCCUCUAACUUUCUGUCCAUUACAGCAGAGGAUAUUUGGGACUUUUAAGGGGCUUAAUUGCUGUCCUGAUCCCUUUUAUUAACCUAGGAUUCUAUGUCUUCCAACUCACUUUGCAUUACCUGAGGAUGUACUGGGGACUGUUUAAAUGCUCAGUUGGAGCUGCGGUCCCUUUUGUAUGUCUAGUUUUCCCAUGCCCUCCUCCUCUUUUGCAUUAUAGCAGUGGGUACUUGGGGCUGUUAAAGUACUUAAUUGCUGGCUUAGUCACUUUUGUUGGUUUAGGAUCCCAUUCUCUUCUACUCCCUUUACAUUACCUGGGAGGAAUUUUGAGACCGUUAAAGUGCUCACUUGCACCUGUGAUGCCCUCUGUUAGUCUAGGAUCCGAUGCCCUCUAACUCCCUUUGCUGCAUUACAGCAGAUGGUACUUGGGACUGUUAAUGUGCUUUUGCUAGUCAUGAUCACCUCCUCCCUUUAUAUUACCUGGGAGCAGAUUUGGUACUGAAAGGUGCUUAAUUGCAGCUGCGUUCCCUUCUCUUAGUUUAGGAUCCUACACCCCCAACUCUUGCGUUAUAGCAGAAAGUACUUGGGCCUGUCAGAUUUCUCACAGCUGUGGUAUCUUCUGUUUUGUAGGAUCCCACGCGCACCAACUCCCUUUACAUUAUCUGGGAGUGUAUUUGGGAAGGAUAAAGUGCUUAAUUUUAGCAGUGGUUCCCUUUGUUGGUGUAUUUUUCCAUGCCCUCCUACAGUCUCUGCAUUAUGGCAGAGGGUACUUGGGACUGUGGCUGUGCUUAAAUGCAGUUGUGGUCCCUUUUGUUAGUGUAGGAUCCCAUGCCCUCUCCUUUUACAUCACCUCAGAAGUGCUUGGGACAAUUAAGAUAUAUCCCAUUCACUCCUACCCUUUUAGCAUUACAGUACGGGUUUGCUGAAAACCAAGCCCCCCCUUUUGUAUUGUUAAUGUGCAUAAUUGUAUUUGUUCCUUUUCCUCUGCACUAGAUAAGAUUUCUCUAAUUUCACUUGUAUUCAGCAGUGGAUGCACUUUAUUUAAUACCUUUGUACUAGGAUAAAGUGAACCAUGGUAAUUGAUAUACUGUGUCUUUCAUUUAAGUCCCCCGUAUGCUCUUUGAAUUAAUUACCUCAGUUACUUUUUUUCUGGAACUAUUGGUGUGCAAAAUUCCAAUUUUUUUUACAUCAAUUUUUUUUUUUUUUUACAUCAGGGGAUGCUAGUAUCCCAAAAUUCUUUCCCUGGGACUCUUAAUGUACAUGUGCCCCCUUGAUAAGCUAAUACCCUUACUUCUUCAUAUUAUACUGGAGGGUACUGACCACCUACAGUCUUUCUGUUGGACAGUUAAUGUGCCGUAUUGCACCAGGAUCCCACCCUUCUCUGUGUUAGGGGUGCUGACCAACUAUGACUGCUUCUCCUGUGCAGUUUAAAUGUGCAUAAUUACAGCAAUCCUUGCUCACUUAUGUUAGAAUAAGAUCUCAUUUCCUUGCCCCAUUUACAUUAUUGCAGGGGCUUCUGACUAGCCAAGAUUCACUCUCUUGGACUGUGUGUGCAUACUUAACAUUUGCUCUUAUACCUGUGCACCAGGUUAGGAUCCUCCCCAUACUGUUUAUAUUCCAGUGGGAGGUGCCUACUACUCAAGAUUUUACACACUAACGCAGUUAAUCUGCACAACCUUCGUUGUUUUAUACCCACUCAGUUGUCCACAACUGUACCUUUAAGUUCAGGACUUUGCAUUUACCAAAGCAGAGGUGAUUGACCACAUUAAAGCCUUUCUCUUGGAACUGUGGCUGUGUGUAGUUUCAGUUGUCCACUCUCCUUUGAGUUAACUUGUCCCUGACUCUUCUCAGAACCUUUGAGGUUUACUGCAUGGGAUACUGUCAAUUUAAGGCCUCUUCCUCAAACUGCUAAUGUGUGUAAUGACAAUUAGGAUUCUUCGCCUUUACACUGCCUUUGAAGUACUGCAGGGAGUUCUGACCCAUAAGGUCCCAUUUCUUGGCCUGUUUUUUAAGAUGCAUGAUUGUAUUUGUCUGGGUUCCUGUGUACUAGAGAAGAACACCUCUCCCCACUUCUUCUGUUAUCUGUUAUGCAGGGAGUGCCCCCUCUAAGGCUGUUAUAUUUGAGCAGUCAAGGAGCACAGUUAUCAUUGACCACAACUAUGCACCAUGGAUAUUAAUGUGCAUAACUACACAUGCUUCAUCCCAUUUGAAUAAGGUACUACCCUCUCAGACCCCUUUUGUAGUACAGGGGGGUACCGAUCACUAAGGCCUUUUUUCAUGGCUUGUGAUUAUGCAUAAUUUCAUUUGUACAUGUUCUUGUACACUAAAUAAAGGCACCUCUCUCCCCACUCUCUUUACCUUUUAGCAGGGAGUUCCCAUUACUUAAUCCUUACAUUUGUACAAAGUACAUGGUUUUAAUUAACCAUACCAUAUCCCUUGGGCAUUAGUGUCAGGACUGCAGCUUAGUUCAUCCUACCCUGUUGUAUGUCAUUGAGUAUACCAGGGUUGCUGACCCCAACUUGUCCUAUUAAUGUGCAUAAUUACAUUCGUCCAGGUUUUUAUGCACUAGAUGAGGAGACACCCUCACCCCUACUUCUAAGCCUUCCAGUAGGUGGUGCCCACUGCUAAGACAUUUACAUCUGAAUAGUUAAUAUGCAGAAUUGUAGUUUUCCACAACUCUGUUACUUCCAGAACUAUCGUACCUCCUUUGCAGUGCUGCAGGAGAUACUGUUUUCUCCCAAAGUUCUUUCUAGCAAACUGCUAACAUUCAUUCAUUAAUUGAAAUUGUCUGCUGUCUUCAGUAGACUAAGGCCCUACACUCUCACCUUCCCUUUGCAAUACAGCAGAGUGUGCUGAUGAACUAAGGUCCUCUUUGGACUGUGAAUAUGUACAGUUGAAUUUUUUCCCUGUUUUAUGUACUCUAUAAGGACCCUACCUACUUUCUUAGCAUGUUUAGCAGGUAGUGUCCACUAUUUAAACCCUUUCACUUGGAAAGUUCAUGUGUAUAAGUGCAGUUUGCUAAGCAUGCUUUAUACUAGAACCCCUAUACCCUCUUUGCUUUGGAGUAAGGAGAUGCAGUUUACCUCUAAUGCCCUUUCUUUUGGACUUUAAUGUGUAUAAUUGCAAUUGUCCAUCUUUUUAUCCCCUCAAACCUCCUUUGCUUCAGGGGCAUGUUAACCAUAAAUUGCAUCCCAUCAAACCCCCUUUGCAUCAGGGGCAUGUUAACCAUAAAUGAGCUCUUCUUGAGAUUAUUAAUAUACAUACUUGUAUUUGUUUGUUGAUCUGUGCAGUGUGAAAGGAUGCUCUAUGCCCCUACCACUGCCUUUGGAUUGCUGCUGAGGACUGCUAUCAUGACGUCAGCUCUUGGACCAUUAAUAUGCACCACUAUCAAUUAUGGGACCUAUUGUACUCCCUUUGUAUUCAUUAGGGGUACUGACUAAGGUCUCUUUCUUGGACUGUCAAUGGGCAAUUAUCUAUGUUCCCUUCUGUUAGGUUUAGGAUAACAUUCCCUUAAAACCCCUUUGCUUUAUAUAGGGGUUGCUGAACACACAAAAUUCCUGGGACUGUUAAUGGGCACAAUGGCAAUUAGCAAUGAAUUUUUCCUCCCUGGCCUUGUUAGACAAACACUCCCAGCCCCAAUUUUGUGUGACAUAAUUAAGUAUGAACAUUGCAAUAUGCUGUGAAUUUGUCUAUCAAAUAGCAACCCAUACUCCCUCUCCUUUUGUAUUGCUCCUAUGUAUAAAAUUCCAAGUACUCAUGGUCUUCCCCUUCCCAUCCCUCUUCCCAUCCUGUGCUGACCCUUGGACCCUUCCUAUGGACCUUUGUCACAGUUUCAGGUGUUCAUGUAUUCAGCCAUUGAAUAAGAUUGUCCCUCUGCCCCGCCCCCAUCCCUUGCCCCUUUUGCUUUAUUGCUGGGGAAUGUUGACUGGGCAAGGCCAUUUCCCUUGAACUUAAUACAUUAGUAAUCCCUGAUGUCAUUGCCUUACCCACUUUAUAUUACUGUAAUGCCUCAGUUGCACUUUCCUUGGUCCCACCCAUCAGACACGGACCCCUCCACUUCUUUGCAUUGCAUUGCUGACUACCCAAAGUCCCUUCUGUGUUAACGCAGUACUGAUUGUCCCAUUUUUUAGCUCAUCAGCCCAAGAUUUUCCUAUCACUUUGAUGUUAUGUGCAGUAUUGACUACCAAAAGCAGACCUGAAUUAGGUGGAUGGGCCUUCACUCCUUUUUCUGCACUUCUUAAUGAUGCAAUCCCAGUUGUCACAUUCUGGGACAGGAACCGUCCCUGCCCACCUCUGUUACUGCUUUACUGAGCAAAAUGCUCAAGGCAAGUCAGGCCUAGAAAGCUGGAUUGCCACCCCUUAUUACUGAUUUUCAGUAUAAGUAUCAGUUGAAAAUUGUCUCCCCAGGAAGAAAGAUUAGCACCAUCUGUGCAUUCUUCCCUCCAGAGCAGAUUGCCUGGCCAAGAAUCUCUCUUCCCCUCUUGUAUAUUGUUGUUGUACAGUGCAGGUUGCCAGGAUACAAUAAAAAAAAUGCUGUUUGCAAGAUGGAAUUGUAAACCUGGUCAUUUAAUUUUUGAAGUCCAAAAACCCAUUUAUACCAUGUACUUGAUGACCAGUGUCUCUCAUUUACUAUGGGUGGUGGGUCUGUGGAUACACCACUAUGAAUCUUGCUAUUUUAAGUAUUCCCAAGAGUUCUAGAGUGGAACUCUUAAGACACAUAUCUUUGGGCUCUACCACCAUUUAAAACCCAUUCUUUAUUUGGGCUUUACCACCAUUCACUUUUAGAGAAACUACCUAAACUUUCUAGUCCUUAAAUUUCUUCAUCUGGAUCAUCAACCACCCCCUACUUAUUUCAAGAAGAUUGCUUUCAAAGAAUGAACUGAGAGAACAUAUGCUGAGGCACUUUUGAAAACCAUAGUUCACCUUACUUGAUUAACCUGUUACAUAUAUAAAAUGCAUCCCGUCGAAUUCUGCUAAUUUAAAGUAGCCUGAAGCACUAUGCUGAAGUGAGGACUUAGGAAUGAUAGUAUCAAUUGCCCUGUUUUGUAUUAAAGGAGAAAUAAGCUAAGUUCUAAUCAUUCUUCUGGACAUAAAUUUCAACAGUGAGAUAGCUUCCUGGUAAAAUGAAUAAUAUCCUAGCCUCUAGUGUGCAGGGUGUGGCAGAGAAGUCUCUAAUGUGGAACUGCUGAAGCAAAUAAUGUUAGUUAUCACAACAGCAGUUCUUUAUAAUCACUGAAAAAGGAUACUAUUCCUCUGACAAGGAUGUCAAAAGAUCCGCCCAGCUCAGGGUGCAGUAUGCACUACUAGCUCCUUGGACAGCUGUAAGAAGAGUCUCUGGCUCUUUAGAAUACUGGAUGAAUUCUGAGCUGGUUCUGUACCGCACUCAAGAGGAAGGAUGGAUCAACUUUAAGUGGAUUGAAGCCUGCACUAGACGGCAUCCAAAGAUCUUCCGCAGAAGAAUAGGCUUGUUGCUCUACAGUGUUAGUGACCUGUUCCCCUUGACGAUCCCUAGGUGGAGAUGGGGCAUGAGGAUCCUCCAGGGGAAAAGCUCACUACCACUAGGCAGCAACCCUAGGCCGGGAGGUUCUAUCAAGAUUCUUCCCUGGUCCCAGGGAGGAAGAUGAACUCUCAAAACCACCACCACUCUUCAGAGGAGAACAUGGGCAACAACUGCCACAUCUGUGACAUUGAUCAUGGGGAGAUCAUCAUUUUGGACCCUCUGGUCCCCAGAGUAUUUCUUGAAGCCUUGCUGGGGAAUUUUGACAAUCAUUUACAUAUGUCAAGAUGGCUUAGGAUGUCUUUGGGCUAAAACACAAAACAAGCUGUUUGAGAAGAUAAAUAGGAGUUGUAUGCUUGUCGAUUAAUGGAACCUGACCAGAAAUGGCACAAAGUUUCUGUUGUCAGGUCCUGAUUGUUCUCUCUUUUCUGCCAAAUCACUGUCUUCCCAAAACAGUGCAAAGCGCAAGAAAGUGGAACAUACUGAAGGAAGAUCAACAUGCCUGGCACACUAGCAUUUUAGAACAGCAGAAUGAAUGUGUAUUUCUUUGCUUGUCUCUUUCUUUCUUGAAUCUCUUUGGUUGUCUUUAUCUAAAAUGUGUCUUAGCCAUCCCAUGAUUCUCUUGCUAGUUUCUUCUCUGUGUAUCUUUGUCUCAUUCUGGUUUUUGUUCCUAAGAGUGGUCUGUGUCUUGUCUUAGAUGUCUCUCUCUAGUUUUGUUUCAUUUUGUUUUUUCAAUUUGUUUCUGAUUCUCUUUGCUCUCCUAGAUCUGGCUCUUCUUUCUAUGUUCUUCCCUUUUGGUCUCUGUUGCAUGCUUGUGUGCUUUUUGUUCAUUACUUGUCCUGCCUAUACCUCUCUUCUUUUACUGUUGUGAACUCUGAUUGUUGGUCUUCCCUUCCCCUUGUUGUUGUUGGUUUGACAUUUCACCUUUUUCUCAUUCUGGCUUUCCUCCUGCUUUUUCUACUAUUAUCUCACAUUUCUCUUUUCUGUAUAUUUUUUCUAUCUCUGUUGGGCCAUUUUCUCUUUCUUUCUUGCUGUCUAAAUGUCUCUUUGUUCUUUGUGAUUUUCCAUUUCAGCAUUCAUCUUUGUUCUUUGUGAUUUUCCAUUUCAGCAUUCAUCUCUGUUCUCUUGUUUCUUCUCUGAUUUCCCCCUUCUGUUUACCUUUGAGUGUUAUCAGCCUCUUUAUAUGUCUGUGUUCCCCCCUCUUUGACUUUAUGCCAUCCUCUCUCCUUGUAUAUUUUGUGCAUCUGUGUGGUCAUGUGUGUGUGUUUGUGACAAAGGGGUUUCCUAACCCCUUCCCAAUAGGUACAGAGUGCAGCUAUCAAAAUAAGCAUUGCAGAGCUGUUCGUUAUGCCAGGACACCCUGUGAGAUGGAUGAUCCAAGACCUAUGAUGGACAGAAGGUGGAAGGCCUAUAAUGGAUAGAAGGCCCAAAGUAAAAAAACAAAUGGUUUGAGACUUGAAACCUGAAGACAGACAUGGAAAAACCCAUGUUCCAAGAUAGAUGGAAUCCUCAGGCUUGAGGCCAUCAAAGCCCUGACAGCUGUGAUGUAAAAAGGUGGCUUUUGUUGGAUAGAACACCUGACUGAGUUGGAUGGAAAGUUCAAGUCUUGAGUUAGAUAGAAGUCCAAAGACCCAGAGUGGGAGACUGUAGGCCUAAGUGUGGGGACCCAUGGAAGACCUGAGACCUAAGACACAAGGUCUAAGACUUCAGAUAAAAACCUAAGAUCCAAGGAUGGAAAGCCCUAGACACACAUAAAGACCUGGGAUUCCUGCUUAUCUAGAUGGACAGAAGGCCAAAGAGAGACCAUGUCUCAAGACUAAAUUAGGUGGGAAGCUAGAAGCCUAUGACACAGAAUUUGGGAAGGAUAGAAGCCCCAAGACCAAAGGAAAUCUAGAGAUGAGAACACUAAACCCCAUCUUUUUUUCUAUUGCUAUCCUGUCUACCCUUGGACAUUUUUAGUUCUCCCUUUCCAGUUCUUAUGCUUUUAUUUAAGUUCACUUCUUUUGAGGAGCCCUUUUUGAUGUUGUUGUUACCUUAAGAUUACCUUUAGAUUGGCAAUAUUAUGCUCGGGCCAGUCUUAAGCCAGUUUUUAUCACAGUUUUGAGCUAUUAAGUGUUUAUUUUUUAAAUUUCCAUUUCUCUUCACCUCCACUCCUUGAGAGAUGCAUUAUAGGUAACAUUGUAUUUUGGUCCUCCCUUUUCCUUAGAAGCUCUAGCCUGAUGAGCAAAGGCAAGCAUCAGGCUGUUGGGGGAAAAUGUCCCAGACUAUCUAGAGGAAAUGUGAAGAGAUAUUCCAGGCCAAUGAGAAGAAUUAGACAAGAAAUACCCAGAUGUGCCAUACUGUUGAGAAGCACCAACCUGCAACACCUUUCUUCUUUGAGCUUGGGUGAACAGGAUUCUUGGGGUUUAGGAUUUCUAGUAAUGGUUACAAAAUGAAUGAUUGGGUCUGAUAUGGAGUGAGGCCCCAAGGAGACACUUUGAACCCCCUGCUUAUAGUAGUGGCCUAAUAUUUUGGUAGAUUGUGCCAACACUGCUCCUGGAUUUAAUACCCACUUCUAGGCUUAAAGGUGAGAGAACUUGGAACUAUUUAGCAGGUUUAAUCCUACCUUGAUUCCCCCCCACCAUCAUUUAAAUAACUGAGAAUAUAUGUGAAAGCACUGUAAAGCACAGAAAAAAGAAGGCAUUCUCAUUAAUAGUAUAUUGGCAGUCAUGCACAGCUAACAUUUAAAGUGCUCUGUCAGUUGUUAAGCAUUAUGUAAAUCAGGAGUUAUCACACUGCACAUAAAGGGUCAGAUGGUAAAUACUUAAGGUUUCGUGGGCCAUAUGGUCUCUGACACAUGUUUUUCUUUUACAACUCUUUAAAAAGGAAAAACUAUUCUUAGCUUGUGAACCAAGUAGAUUUGGUCUGGUGGGCCAUAGUUUUUAUCACCCCGAUGUAAGUACUGGGGACUAUGUGCUGAAUAAUAAAAUCAUUUCUGUGUGUUGGUCCCUGUGCACUCAGGAUGCAAUAUUUAUUCAUAAUUACAUCUGGGUGACUUGAAGAAAAAUACAUGAAUGUGAUUUAUAAACUAUAAAACAUUUAAAGAUUAAAGAGUUUCAGAGUUGAUGGAUGAAUAUUGAUUACAUAGUAUCUACAUUCUACUGUACUAGACACUAUAGAUACAAAGAUUAAAAGAAGCCUGAAUAAAGUACUUUGUUAGUAGUAUGUAAUACCAUGCAGAUAUUAGGAAUUGUUUGAUAAAUGAAUAACUCCUAUAUUUGUGGCUCUUGUGUUUCUGCUACUCUGGUAAUUUUAAACAAAAAUACAGUAUUCCAGGUAGCAGAGAAGCAAAUGCAUGGAAACUGCUUUGAAACCAUAAAAUAUACUGCAAACACAGGGUAUUAAACUGUUGUGAGCACUUUACCAUACCAUUUUCAAAGGGAAAAGAAGUGUUCUCAUCAUGUAAUUAAAAGUUUCAGAUUGUGAGGUGCAUAUUAAAGUGCCUUAUAAACUAAAGCAUUAUAUAAAUACCAGUGGGUUACAUGUUUAUGAGUGGAUGAAUAUUAAUUGCCUUUUAUGGGCCAGUACUGUUUGGGUACUGUGAAAUCUAAGAUAAUGCUUUCAUGUAAUAAGAAAGAGGUUUAUGUCCUAGACUAUUUAGAUGUAAGGAAUUAGAUAUUGCUUGUUUUAAUCAAGACUUUACUGGUCAUGUCAAAUUAAAUAAUCACCAGUAUAUUUUCCCAGGUGAAAGAAAAAUGUAAUGAUUGAGAUUGCCUUUGCACUUUUUAAAGUGCUAUAUAAAUCCAAGACAUUAGCUGUUUCUGUGUAAAUAAAACUUUCUAUGAGAUAGGCAUUUUCUCUACAAUAUUCUCAUUGUGUGCUUGACUGUGAUGAAGGUUGUAUAAAUAGCUAUACAAACUGAGGGCUUAAAUACUUGUUGAAUGAAUGAAUAUCAUCAGAUGCUUACUAGGUAAAAAUAUUAUAGGCAGUAAAGAGAUACACAGACUUAUCAUUUCAUUGUGCUUGCAGCUGAGCAUACGGCAAUACAUAUGUAGUAUUUUAGGAACUCUAAAGCACCAUAUAAGUGUAGCUACUUAUUUUCUAAUUUGGUGCUGAGUACUAGGAUUAUAAAAUUAUAUCACAGUCAUCAUUAUACUAUGAAGAAAGUUGAAAAAUUUUGAGGAAAAAUUGUUAACUAUUGAACACUGAAUAUAAUAUACAAAGGAUUAAAUAUCUGAUAAAUGAAAAACUGGGUAAUAAUUAUUAUGUGCCACUCACCUUGCUUGUCAUUGGAGAUGUGAAGAUAAAUCAUCUUUAUUGUGUCCUGGGUAGCAGCAGAUAACACAUAAAUCAAUUUAUAAGUUUUGAACUGCCAUACAUAUAAAACCAAUAUCUGCUGUGUGAACAUCGAUUAUUUUCUGUUAUCCCCAGAGAUAACAAGUGGGGAUAUAAAAGUUCAUUAUCAGAGAUCUGUUCAAAUUUACACAGCCUACUGUUCUAUAUAGAUAAAAGGAAAUAACUUGGCUUAAUGAAUGAUUACUGGUUACUUUCUGUGAGGCUCUGAACUGUGCAUGCCCUAGGAUAUGAAAAUGAUUUUAUCCUUAUGGUGUGUUCAUUGGAGGAAAUAAGGAAGUAGGUGGGAGAUCCAGACUAGAAGUUACUUAAGCACUGCAAAGCUUAUUUAAUAAAAACAUGGGGAAAAUAGAAUUGUGCCAGGAAGUAUGCUAAAUCCUGACCUCUGUGGAAAGAUAAAAUCUGAAUCAGAGGUGUACUUGCUCCCUGGCCUAGCUGAAGAGAUGGAAGAUAUUUUUAAGAAGCAAGGUGUUAACAGUUCUCUAUCAGUCUUUAAAAUGCUGAAUGCUGAAUGCGGAGAUGAAUUCAAUCUACCCUGGCCUGGCUUGAGUCAUUAAAGGAGUAAAAAAUAAAUGGCUCAGGAGUAAAAUCAAAUGGCUUUGCUUUUAGAUUCAUUUGAUAAAUAGAGCAUCUUUCAUGCGGAAUAAUAUAUCAUUGUAGGUCUUAAGAGAAGUGAAAUGGGCCAAGUCUAAAGUCUAAAGGGCAUUAGAAUACCUAUUGAUGAAGAUAAGAAAAUACUGAGUUUUGAGCAAAUAUUUGAGUGCCUGUUUUCUGGAACAUAUUAUGCUAGAUAAAUUAGUUGAGUGGGUCUCAUCCAGAAAAUGCACAUUGACAUGCCUUAGAUAUGAAAAAAAUAGAAAAAUAAGACAUGGUUCUUUUAAUAUUAAAUGAAGAAUUAUUCCUAGUUCUAGAACGUCCCAGUAUCACUUGCUCAUUGAACUAGUUUAAAUCCAGAAGGCUGAUACAAAGGUGCUUAGGGCUUGUCUUUUAAUUCAUUACUUUCAUAUCUGUUUUUAUUAUAGAUGAAUGAUUUAAGAUGAGAAUUAAGAUGAAAGUACUGGUUUUAAAAAUAUUUGCUCACUGACCUGGCUUAGAGUCAGGAAGCAAUAGAUUUUUUUCCUACAUUUUCUAUAUUUUGUGCAAAAAUUUAUUUACCCAGAAUAAAGUAUGUUCUCAAAUGCUGAGAAUUAAGAAAUUAAAAAGUCCUAGGCCAAAAUGUAAUUUAAUCUCACUAGUCUAUGGUGGAAACACAAGAGCAAAUUUAAUGAGACUGCAGUUCUUUACUUGAAAAAUAUUAUUGAGCAGCUGUGAUAUUAAGACACUGAGAACAAAUGGCCACCUUCUCUUUGGCAUGUUUUGUAGAGUGGGAAUAAGAGGGGACUUUGUAUCCAUUCAUACUAACACUGAAAGUGAUGUUAAAUUGGAGCAGAUCUGGUAUAAAAUGCAUUUAGUUUAUCUUGGGGGUGCAGUAAAACAAAACAAAACAAAAAUUGGAAUGAAAUUCUUCCUUAAAUGGAAGUGUCUUUUUCAAGGUAUUCUGUUAAUUGCUAGACAGAAUAUGAAAAAGAUCAUGACUGAAAGAAACUUGAUUUUUUUAUUACCUUGGAGACUAGAAUAUAAGAAGUUACUGUUCAUUCAUUUAUUCAUUCUACAAGUAUGUUUGAGUGCCUGUUAUAUAUAAGGUUUUUUGUGUUUCCAGUUCUCCCCAGAGACAUGAAAAAAAUGAAUGUUUUCUUAGAGGACUUUUAAAACUUUCCUUUCGGACUGUUUUCUGAUUAGGGGCAUGGCUAGACCCUUAAUAAUGUGGGUUUUAAUUCUUGUUCUGUACUUCUUCUACCAUUCUGGCCACUACAAUAAGCAGGGUUUUCUAUUGAGCUAGCUCAUUAAGUGGGAGGAAGUUCCCUUAUAGUAGACACUUUAUUUUCCCUGGCCCAUAUCUCAGGAGAAAUGGCUGUGACCACUGCUAGGCAGAAGGAGGGAUGAAAAACAACUAAUUCCCAAACCCCAGUCUCACUGGUACCAGCCUUGGGGAAACACUCAUACUCAGGCCACAAUAGGUUUUGAAAUGCAUUUAUCAAUUUUACCUGCUUUCUGAUAGAUAUACUCUGCCUAAAUAGAUCUCUUUGAAGAAUAAUCUUCAGAUGGUAUAUAACAUAAUGGGAGAGACAUGAUUUUUCUUUUGCAACAGGUUUGCAACUUAACCUUUAGAAAUCUCACCAUCAAAACAUGUCGAAGAAAGGAUCUCUUAUAGUGGAAUUAUGUCAGUGAAUAAAAUGAGCUUAAUUUUAGCAUGUUUUAAUUUUAAAAAUAAUAGAAAUUGGAAGUAAUUGGCAAAAACUGGAGGUAAAUGAU